rnacentral:rRNA from 1 species
GUGGGGAAUUUUGGACAAUGGACGCAAGUCUGAUCCAGCAAUGCCGCGUGCAGGACGAAGGCCUUCGGGUUGUAAACUGCUUUUGUACAGAACGAAAAGGCUCUGGUUAAUACCUGGGGCUCAUGACGGUACUGUAAGAAUAAGCACCGGCUAACUACGUGCCAGCAGCCGCGGUAAUACGUAGGGUGCGAGCGUUAAUCGGAAUUACUGGGCGUAAAGCGUGCGCAGGCGGUUUUGUAAGACCGAUGUGAAAUCCCCGGGCUCAACCUGGGAACUGCAUUGGUGACUGCAAGGCUGGAGUGCGGCAGAGGGGGAUGGAAUUCCGCGUGUAGCAGUGAAAUGCGUAGAUAUGCGGAGGAACACCGAUGGCGAAGGCAAUCCCCUGGGCCUGCACUGACGCUCAUGCACGAAAGCGUGGGGAGCAAACAGGAUUAGAAACCCUUGUAGUCC